UCAGACUUUUAUAAAACUCGGUUAGGGGUUUUACCUUCGCUUACCUGGAGAAGUGUUUGGACAGCACGAGGUCUCUUGAAGAAAGGCUUAUGCUGGAAGGUUGGAACAGGUGAUAAAAUUUCAGUAUUGGGGGAUUUGUGGAUUACAGGAAACGAAACAGAUCGUUUGCAGCAUCAUGGAAAUCAAGCAAAUGUCAAGUUAGUAUCAGAUCUAAUUGAAACUAGCAAUAGAAGCUGGAAAAUAGAUGUUGUAAUGACUACCUUUCAACCAAAAAUUGUGAGGAAAAUAUUGCAGAUUCCACUCGCAGAGCUAGCAUACGAGGACUUCCAAGUUUGGAGGGGGAGAUGUCAGGGGAAUUUUCGGUAAGGAGUGCCUAUAAACUAUUACAAGGGACUAGCGAAGAUCCUAGUACUAUUAAUUUACAAAUCGAGACUAAAAACUUUUACAGAAAAUUGUGGAAGCUACACAUCUCUUCAAAAAUUACCUUAACAGUAUGGAGACUAUCUUGGAAUUUCAUUCCUUCACUAGUCAAUCUCAAGCAGAAGAAAGCAGUAGCUAACGCCCUUUGCCCGCGAUGCCGACAAAAUGAGGAAGAUAGUUAUCAUAUUUUUUAGCAGUGCCCUACGAUAAGAGAGGUCUGAAAUCAGUUAAAGCUCUCAUGGAUACUUAAUAGUAAUCAUCAGAAUAUAUGGGAAUGGCUUGCCUGGAUCUUUAGUCAAGGAACGACUGAACAGAUUCGUCUUUUUUGCUGCGGCCUUUGGCUUGUUUGGUUCAAUAGAAAUCGAUUAAUAUAUGAUAAAGUAAAUGUAUCUGGGAAGGGCAUUGCGAAACAGACUUAUAGCUAUAUUUCUGAGUUAAAUGGGAUUAAAGAGAAGAGACUUACCGUUCAGUCUACUGGAAAUGCUGUACAGGAAAGAAGAAGAUCGAGAGUCACAAUCUACUUUGACGCGGCCUUUGAUCAACAGACUUUCAGAUCAGCAUCAGGAUUGUUUGUAAAAGAUGAGAAAGGACGGAUUCUUGCAUCAAAAACGAUCAUUUACUCCAAAAUUGCAAAUCCAUUUUUAGCAAAAGCGCAUGCAGGAUUACAAGCAGUCAAGUUAGGGUUAUUCAUGGGUCUAAAUAAACUGGAAAUUGUGGGAGACUCAAAGACAGUAAUUAAAAAAUGCCAGAACACAGAGAUAGACAAAUCAAACAUCGGUGUGAUCAUCAGAGAUAUUCAGCAUAAGAAAGGCAGAUUUCAAGAGAUAAAGUUCCACUUCAUACCCAACAUAGAAAAUCUUUACGCUCAUACUCUAGCAAAAGAAGUGUUGAAGAGAGGAGUUAGCCAUUACCUGGUAGGAGGGCUUCCAGAUUUUGUUCGACAAGCAUCAGAGGAGAGGAGACCAAGAGAACCAGAUUGAAAGAAAAUGUAGGUGAAGGACUGUUUGAAAAAGGUAGUAGGAAAUCAAUUGCUUCCCUUGGAAACUGCUACCGUCAUAAUGCUGAAGAGGACGUGAAGCGACAACACAUUGAAGCCCCAGUUAGUGAUUUGACUGGAUAAGAUUUAAUUAGGUUAACUAUUUUUUAUUUUAUUUCUGUUUCGAUUUUUUUUUUUUAGGAAUCAUGGACCUGUUUCUUUAGGCCGACCUUGCCUUAUAUGCAGGCUUGAAAUUUUAGUAGGGCUCCUUAUAUGGACUUAGC
rnacentral:lncRNA from 1 species